rnacentral:rRNA from 1 species
UACGGGGGGGGCUAGCGUUGUUCGGAAUUACUGGGCGUAAAGGGCGCGUAGGCGGUCUGGUAAGUUGGGUGUGAAAACUCUGGGCUUAACCCAGAGCCUGCAUUCAAUACUGACAGGCUAGAGUUCUGGAGGGGAUAGCGGAAUUCCUGGUGUAGCGGUGAAAUGCGCAGAUAUCAGGAAGAACACCAAUGGCGAAAGCAGCUUUCUGGGACGGUACUGACGCUGAGACGCGAAAGCGUGGGGAGCGAACAGG